AACUAUGAAAAAAAUCAUGCAAUAUCUGAUCUUGCACACAAAAGUCUCUUUCUUUAGUUUCAAGGUAGAAAUUUGGAAAAACGUGAAAAUGGAUGGUUAAUUAGGUUAGGAUAGUAAAAAAUAUCAUUAGAUUUCCCCCCCACCCUUCUUUGGCUUUAAUUACCUUGAAAAUUGCAUGUUGUGCUGUAUUUUAAGUUUUUCCUGCUAAAGAUUCAUCUCCGGAUCUUCUUCUUCGAUGAAUCCUGGAAUGCGAAUCAAUUGUUAAGUUUUAAUCAAUCAAAGGGGAAAAAGGGUCUUGUCAGAGUUGACAAAAUGGACAACUUUCCCAGGUUAUUAUGUGGGUGGAGCUGGGAGGAGAACAAGUUGUUUGAGGUGGCUCUAGCGGUGGUCGACGAGCAACACCGGAUCGUUGGGAAGCGGUUGCAGACAUGAUCGGAGGACAAAAACGUGCAGAAGACGUGCAGAAACAUUAUGUCAUUCUUUUGGAGGAUUUGCAGUUCAUAGAGUCGGGCAAAUUUGACCAAAUCUCGCCGAAGAAAAUCGAUCCGUAUGAUGGACCAAUGAAGAUAACAAAUCACUGGUACGAUUGAACAUAAAUUGAUCCCCGGAGCCAGUGUUCGUUCAUGGCAGAUUUGUUAUUGGUGCCGGUACCCGCGCCGGUGUCGGAACCAAUAGUUUUUGUUUUAAUUGAUCAAUUCUAAAGGUAAUGUUGGCUUUUCGUAGAUGUAAUUAAUCUCCUUAAUGAUUCAGACUCUGCAAAUAGAUAAAUUAUUGGGGUUAAAGUUGAAUAUAAUACGUCUAGUUUUCCAUUA